CGGGACCUCUGGGGUCCCCCGGCUGGGUUGGGUAACGGCGUGGAGAGGCUGUGGGGCACAGCCAGGGCUUUAACAGGGCUGGGAAAGCGGAGAACGACUGGGGAGCUGCAGCGAUAGCGGAAUGGCGCUGAGGCGGUGUUCGUGCGUCUGGGAACACGGGCCGUGGAGCUGCGGGCACCGGAGGCAUGCGAAGGGAAGUUACACUUUGGCAGUGCUGUCUCCAAAGGCUCCAGAAAGGCUCCGGUUAAAAUCAGCUGUGUGGUGUCCUUCUCCUCCCAGGCUGAGGUGGGAUGCUCCUCAUGGCCCUGUGACCAGCCCUGUCACAUCUUGGUGCCUACUGAUGACACCAGCUGACUCAAAGCUGGACCAGAAUCGCUGCAAGGUUCAGAUGUUUUAGGAAGGAGAUCCAGGGAGGAGAAGCAACUGAGGAGCCGCCUGUGGAAGCUGGAUGGGGCUGCCUGGAGCCCAGCCCACCUCAGCCACUCUGCCUGGAUGGAGCUGUUGACAACACAGAACCAGAACCAGGCCCUGAGGCCCAGAGCUGGCACGAGCACCCUGGGGCGUCACCUGGAGCUGCUGGCCAAGGAUGUGGGAGGUCCUGUAGUGCCAGGCUCUGCACUGGAUGUGCCUGCUGCUCCCUUGAGUACCUGCAGGCAGCUGGACAGGCACUGUGCUCACAGUCCUGUUGGCAGGUAAUCCCCUGGGUCACUGUCUUCUCCUGCCCUCACCUGGCUAUUUACUGCUCUCAGCCUUUCCCAGACAGUUCUGGGCACAGCCCUUCACUCUUUUGGGCUGGCAGGAUGUGGCAUAGGGUACCUCCAGCAUGUUACCCCUGUGCAGGGCUCCAGCUGCCACCUCAGGGAUGCCCAGGGGGAAAGGAACAGCCCAAGCCUGUGGUUCCCAAGAGAGACAAGUCAGGAGAAAUGACAGAGGACAGGCCAGCAGUGAUGGGGAGAUGGUGUCUGCCCCAUCUGCUCAGGUGGCUGCUUGGCAGGGGUGUCCUCUGUGGGCAGUAAAUGGGCAUAGUGGUGGCAGUUCUGUAGCUGGGACACAUCCCUCCUGCUGGUGCCCUGGCACUGGAGGGGCAUCACAGUGUAUUCCCAGGCUGCCAUGAGAACCAUCAGGGAGGGUGUCAGUCCAAACCCCACAUUAUCCCAACACUAGGGGGCCUGUUACAACCAUAUCACCUUCCCUUUCCACAGGCCACUUCCUGCUGAAUCUGCUCCCCACACGCCUCCCAGUGUGGAGAAGAACCUACUGUGGCCUGGCCUUGCUUGUGCCCUGGCCCAUUUGCCAGCUGCCCUUUGGCGUGGCAGGGAUGGAGCAGCAUGCCAGCAACUGCAGGGAGACACCAGGGGCCCUGUCCUCAGCCCAGUGCCUGCAGUAGGACAGAGCUGGGCACAAACCCUGUGUCACCACCCCUGAGGGCAGAACCUGCAGUACCCCAAGGGGCAGAGACACUGCAGCCCCUUGAACAUCUGUGGCAAGGCUGGUGUGAGGAUGGACAAGGUGCUUCCAGCCCCAUGGCCAGGUUUGGUGGGGUUUGAAGCACUGUAAUUACAGGGGUUGCUAUGCAGAAGAGUAAGUUCAAGGAGAAAAAUAAGAAAGAGAAAUCUGCACAAUGACUGCUUGGUGGUACUGCAGGGUCUCCGGGUGAGCAUCCUGCCUUGGGACACCCUGUGUAGUUCAGUGAUAGGGCAAGGAGAAGCUCAUGCUUUUCCUCCCCUCAAGCCCUGAUAAGGGUUCCAGUGCAUGUGGACUGUAGGAGGAGGAAGCCAGGACCCCAGAGCAGGUG